rnacentral:rRNA from 1 species
UGGUUGAUCCUGCCAGUAGUGUAUGCUUCUCCUAAAGACUAAGCCAUGCAUGCUCUGAAUAUGAGGAAGCAAUUCUCUCUGAAUCUGCGAACGGCUCCGCAAACCAGUUGUAAACUAUAGCAAGUCUGCUCGGGCUGGGCUCCGGUCUGGCCUGGGCAAUACGGAUAACCCUGGUAAUUCUGAGGCUAAUACGUGUGUGUAAUCACCUGGUGGGCUGGCUCACGCUGGUAAGCCGGGUGGCGUACGAUAGCUGCUUGAUGCACCGGGAACGGGCGUACGUCUCGACCGCGCUACAAAGGAUGGCCUCUCACGGGGCUGCCCCAGCGGCUCUUGCUGUGUGCUUCUGACCUAUCAACUAGAUGGCAGCGUAAAGGACAUGCUAUGGUAACAACGGGUACAGAGGAUUAGGGUUCGAUCCUGGAGAGUGGGCCUGAGAGAUUGCUCAUACUUCUAAGGAAGGCAGCAGGCGCGCAACGUUCCCCUUGGGCAAUGCUCGAGGGCGUUAGGGGACAUAUGAAUGCCUGCCUAAUAGGUGGGCAAUUCAAAUGGGUCUGUUGUAAACAGGCUCUCGAGUAACAAUUAGAGGACAAGUC